rnacentral:rRNA from 1 species
CCUACGGGUGGCAGCAGUCGAGAAUCAUUCACAAUGGGGGAAACCCUGAUGGUGCGACGCCGCGUGGGGGAAUGAAGGUCUUCGGAUUGUAAACCCCUGUCAUGUGGGAGCAAAUUAAAAAGAUAGUACCACAAGAGGAAGAGACGGCUAACUCUGUGCCAGCAGCCGCGGUAAUACAGAGGUCUCAAGCGUUGUUCGGAAUCACUGGGCGGAAAGCGUGCGUAGGCUGUUUCGUAAGUCGUGUGUGAAAGGCGCGGGCUCAACCCGCGGACGGCACAUGAUACUGCGAGACUAGAGUAAUGGAGGGGGAACCGGAAUUCUCGGUGUAGCAGUGAAAUGCGUAGAUAUCGAGAGGAACACUCGUGGCGAAGGCGGGUUCCUGGACAUUAACGGACGCUGAGGCACGAAGGCCAGGGGAGCGAAAGGGAUUAGAUACCCGUGUAGUC